UCACCAGGUCAGGACACGGUAAGGAUUGACGGACUGAAGGCUCUUUCUCGAUUCCGUGGAAAGUGGUGCAUGGCCGUUUUUGGUUGGUGGAUCGAUCCGUCUGGUUAAUUCCGUUAACGAACGAGACCUCGGCACUCCGAAUAGCGCGGCGGACGUCGCGGCCUCCGGGCCGUCUUCCGCACGAGCUUCUUAGAGGGACCGUCCCCCGCCGGGGAAGGAGGUGCGAGGCAACGACAGGUCUGUGAUGCCCUUAGAUGUUCUGGGCCGCACGCGCAUUACACUGACGCGUCCAACGGGUGACUCCCGACCCGAAGGGGCCGGGGAAUCCGCAAGGCGCGUCGUGAUGGGGAUUGAACGUUGCAAUUGUUGUUCACGAACGAGGAAUUCCUAGUAGGCGCGGGUCAUCAACCCGCGCCGAUUACGUCCCUGCCCUUUGUACACACCGCCCG
rnacentral:rRNA from 1 species